GGAGGAAUUUCUGCCCCAACUUCGGAAGGGUAAAUCCUCCUCCUCCUCCUCCUCCUCGUGACCGGCUACGAGAGGGACCCCAAAUCAUCCCAUUACCGCCCAUCUUGAAACCCACCCUACAUUUUUAAUCUCCUUCUCGCAAAGCGCGGACCCGGGCGCUUCAAAGCCGCUGUGACCCGCCGCGUUUUGUUUCCCGUGGGGCAGUACAGCCACCAACCGGAGUGGGGAAGGGGGGAGGCGGUAAGACGACGACAGGGGAACCGCGGCACGCGCCGCUCCUCCCCGCGCACCCACGGGCGUGAUUUUGGAGAAGUUGCGCAGGCAGGAGGAGGAGGAGGAGGAGGAGGAGGGGAGGUGGCGGCGGGGGGGAGGGUUGGCGGUUCUCGCCCGUGCGGUCGCAGUCUCGCCCCGUCCCUCUCCCCGCCUCGGUCCUGCGCGCCCCCCCACCGCCGCAGCCCCACCGCCGGGACAACCCGCACAAAGCCGCCGCCGCCGCCGCCGCCGCCGGGGUCUCGCUGCGCCCGCUCGGCGCCACCAGAAACAAUAGUCACGGGCCGAAGCGGGGGGACCGCGGAACCGCCGCCGCCCUCCCCACGAGGCUACAAGCCACUUUCCCAGCCAUACAGGACCUUCCCGGCUGCAUCAGCCUUGUCUACUAUCAGCCACCCUCAGCUUCUCACCCCUCAUCGUGUUCCUCAUUAGCUGGUGUCACGGGCUGAUUUACGACCGUCCCUUCAGCAAGGAUACUCCGCGUCUCUCCGUCCUGCUGGGUAGCUCGCAGUGCAUGAGGAAUACCCAGGCUGAUCCCUCUGGAAGAUCCCUGUCACCUGCCAUCACCCUCCCAUCUCCGUUUGAGAUGGCACUGUGCCUCCUUCCCACUCCUUUGAGUGGUGGGGCAGUACUGGCCGCCUGCCCCCGACCUUCUUGGCAGACUCACUGGAGGGCCACGGUUUCGGGGUCACCCUUCAUUCCCCUACAGCAGGGUAAACCCGAGCCUUUUAGGCAGAUUCGGUUGCCUGCCCCAGCGUGGGGUGUGAUGCUCCCACCCCAGCCUGCUUGCUGCAGAAGAAGCCGAAGGCUGUGGCUCCGCUCCCACAGCGCAGCAGAGGACUUUUCCAGCCUGUGAGUCAUAAUGAGAAAACUAUCCACAACCAACCUCAACCCCAGCUUGUGCAUGCUCCCAUCACCUCACACGUUACUUCCACCAGAGCUGCUCAGGAUCCAGGAUUUUGCCGUUCAGGAAUUUGCAGCGCAGGGGGAGGGAGCAGCACUGAGCCCUAGCAGGGAGCGCUGCAUCCUGCAGUGCCCCAGAAAAUCCAGCUCUCCUCCAAAAUAAAUUGCAGAGCUGCCAAGACAUCA